rnacentral:tRNA from 1 species
AUCGUUGMGAUGUCUACGCUGGUUCAAUCCAGCUCGGCCCAAA